GUGCUUGCUUUGGCAGCACAUAUACUAAAAUUGGAAUGAUACAGAGAUUAGUAUGGCCCCCAUGCAAGGAUGAUAUGCAGAUUCAUGAAGUGUUCCAUAUAUUU
rnacentral:snRNA from 1 species